UCCGGUUUAACACCGGCGGUCUCCUUAGAGUGCCCAACUAAAUGGUGGCAACUAGGGAUAAGGGUUGCGCUCGUUAAGGGACUUAACCCGACAUCUCACGAUACGAGCUGACGACAGCCAUGCAGCACCUGUCUCUCUGUCCCCGAAGGGAAGAUCCUACUUCUAGGACUGUCAGAGGAUGUCAAAUCCAGGUAAGGUUCUUCGCGUUGCAUCGAAUUAAACCACAUGCUCCACCGCUUGUGCGGGCCCCCGUCAAUUCCUUUGAGUUUUAACCUUGCGGCCGUACUUCCCAGGCGGGAUACUUAAUGCGUUAGCUGCGGCACUGCAGGGGUCAAUUCCUGCAACACCUAGUAUCCAUCGUUUACAGCGUGGACUAC
rnacentral:misc_RNA from 1 species